UAACACUGCACUCUAAUCAACUGAGCUAACUGACCAGCCCUUAUUGUGUUUAAAUUAAGAAUAUGCAGGGUCAAGUGAUUGCACAUAAAGAAGUUAUGUCAUAGGAGGGAAAAUAACACCCAAUGUUCUCUCAGAGAAAGUAAGCUGAACAUGUACAGAGACAUGGUUCCUGCCCUCCAGAUGAUCUCAGACACCACAGGAACCUGAAAAUCCUCCACCUGUGGAACCAAAGGAUUGGAUUCAGGCCCAACCAAUCAAUCCUUGUCUGCAUCAUAUGGCCUGACUCAGGUCUAACCAAUCAGCUCUUGACUCAGCCAAUCAGCCCUUGCCUGAGUCAUAUGGUGUGAUUCUGCUCUAGCCAAUUACGCUGUGCCUAGUCAUAUGGUUGAACAGGAGCCAGCCAAUACCCAGUCUCCAGUCCUUACUGAUCCUUUAAAAACCGGUUCUCCUCUGGUUCAAGGAGACAGAUUCAAGCAUUGCCUACUAUCUCCUUGCCAGUUGACCUUGCAAUAAAG